rnacentral:lncRNA from 1 species
GGAACCAUACAUCUAGCGUGCACCGAAAGGGGAAAACUUUUCAUUUCCCAUCUCACCUCAAAUGUAUGAUCAAUCAAUGACAAACUUAUGCUGUAAACCAAAAGAAAAGAGAAAAAAAAUACCGACAAAAACUUAUGCCAAUGCCAUUACAUCAACAGUAUAAAACAAACUAAAUUCAUCGCAAGCAAAAUACGAAAAACGAUCCACAUUGCAGGCGUAUAUUUAGAGUGUGAGAGGGGGGAUUGAAUUGCUUACCAUCAGAUCUGGCAAAAUGAAGAAGGAAGGCGAGGAGGAAGAAGGAGAAGACGGAGAGGCGAAGACCCAUUUUUCAGCGUUCCUUCCUUCGUCUUUUGCCAGAGAAAGUAGAAAAGAGUAGAAAGAGGGGGAGGACGAUGAGACUGGGGUGGUAAGAAGGCCGGAUCUCCAUCGCUGUCACGCCAACUUCCUUCCUUUUUUCUUAACUACGCUGAGUCCUACUGUCGGUUUGGUGGAUUACGUACAGUGUACUGCAGGCAAAACUGGACACGGGUGAGAACGUGUCUGAAAAACGAAUUGUAUGCUU